CCUACGUGGUGCAGCAGUGAGGAAUAUUGGUCAAUGGGCGGAAGCCUGAACCAGCCAAGUAGCGUGCAGGAUGACGGCCCUACGGGUUGUAACCUGCUUUUAUACGUGAAUAACGCGCCUUACGUGUAGGUCUUUUCCUGUCCCGUAUGAAUAAGGACCGGCUAAUUACGUGCCAGCAGCCGCGGUAAUAGGGAAGGUCCGGGCGUUAUCCGGAUUUAUUGGGUUUAAAGGGAGCGUAGGCCGCAUGUCAAGCGUGCUGUGAAAUGUCCGGGCUCAACCCGGGCCGUGCAGCGCGAACUGGCGUGCUUGAGUCCGCGGAAAGCAGGCGGAAUUCGUCGUGUAGCGGUGAAAUGCUUAGAUAUGACGAAGAACCCCGAUUGCGAAGGCAGCUUGCUGCAGCGGAACUGACGCUGAUGCUCGAAAGCGCGGGUAUCGAACAGGAUUAGAUACCCGAGUAGUC
rnacentral:rRNA from 1 species